rnacentral:sRNA from 1 species
GAUUACAGCGUCCAAAAGUCUAAGUCCGCUUGGGCUUGCACAAAGCGGACCUAGACCUUGGGACGCGCCCUUACAUGAGCAUGGAAGGGGAGCGUAAGCUCCACGAUAUGCGAAUGGAGGGAAGGAUUGUGGGAGUGCGAAGCACGAAACAAUCCGUGUA